AUGCUCAUGCUGUUCCCUUCUCCUGAAAUAACUUCUCUUGUGUUUCCUAAAGCUCUGAUACAGUUCUUGGAUGCUGUAGGCUCCAGCUGGGAUGGCUCACAAGGCAAAUCUGGAGGGAGAGUUACAAAGGCCCCCCUCCCACCCCACUUACCUCCUGACUUACCUCCGGCUGCAGCCAAGGCAGCCCAUCGGCUGGAAGGGCCCGGUGGGCUGGCUGUGGCCUCGCCAAGCCAGUUGGCUCCACUAGGGCAUUGUUCAUGGUUUUCUCCUAGCUUUUGUCCCCCGAGGCCCAGCCCAUGGGGCUGUCUCAGCGGGUGUCUUGCCCACCAGCUCCCUGGGGCCCAGAGAAGACUCCCGAGAGAGACGGUCCUUGUUACACCCACUCAAGGCCUCCCGAGCUGCCUCUUCCCAGCACUUUGCACAAUGUUAUGCACUUGGGCUUUGUGGACUGUUUGUUUAACACGUGGCUCUCCGGCAAGCGUAGGCUGUGCCUGCUCUGUCCCUAACACCCAGCCCAGACCCGGUGCGCAGAGAUGCUUACCACACAGCUGUGGAUGGAGACAUGCGUGGACGCACAGGGAGACGAACACGUGGAAGGAAGCAGGCAUGGAUCUGUGCAUGGACAGAGGUUUGCAUGGAUGGAGGCUUGCAUGGACGGAGGUUUGCAUGGACGGAGGCUUGCAUGGACGGAGGNUUGCAUGGACGGAGGUUUGCAUGGACGGAGGUUUGCAUGGACGGAGGGGAGGACGAUCAACUGUGCGGAACAGAUGGGGGAAGGGGCUGCCUUCGUUUCCAUUCGGGCUGCUGUACCAAAAUGCCACAGACUGGGUAUAAACAGCAGAAAUUUAUUUCUCACAGUUCUGGAGGCGGGUAAGUCGGAGAUCGAUGUUCUAGCUGAUGCAGUGUCUGGUGAGAGCCCCUUCCUGCUUCACAGACACUGGUCUUUUUGCUAUGCCUUCACAGGGCAGAAGGGGCCGAGGAUCUCUCUGGGGUCUCCUUCCUAAACGGCACUCGUUCCAUUCACGAGGCCUCCGCUCUUACGAUCUAAUCGCCUCCCAAAGGCCCACUUCCAAAUACCCAUCACACUGGGGGCUGGGUUUCCACAUCUGAAUCUUCGAUCGGUGAGCAGUGGCCUCCGUUCUUCCACAUGCUGAGCUGAGGACAGGAGACCAAGUGUCAGGAAUUCUUGAGUCUCCGCUCUGCAAGCCUGAACAAGCCGUAUGCUCUCUCUGAGCCACAGUUUCCUCUUUUGGGGCACACAGAUGGGGGUUGGGAUCCAAUAUACGAACUGGAGGGCCCUGACAGGAAGAGUGGCCCGCCUGGAACUGGGACUGGGUCACAGGGACGUACUCACGGACUCACCGCUCUUCUCCUGACUCCCCUCCUGCCCUGGGCUGUCACAGGCCCUUGGCAAACAGCUAAUUCAGGUGAUCCCCGGGGCCUGGAAGCUCUUUAGGUGCCUUUCUUCAGGACGCUGGAGUGUGCUUGAGUCUAGAUCCUGCAGAAGCACAGAAUGGCCCAGGGUUCGAAUGCUGGUUCUGCCACGGCUGAGGCACAAGUCAUUUCAGCCCUGGGAACCUCGGCUUCCUCAUCUGUAAAAUGGGAGAGAAGAGAACCCCAUGAGGUUGUUCUGAGGAGACAGAAAGGGCAUGAAGCCGAUCCCACGGCACGGUGCCCGGACGUCCUCCGUGCUCGAGAAAUGGCAACUAUUAUGACUAAUCUUAUCAUUCUUGGUUCAAACUUAGUUUUUCCAUAAAGAAGAUCCUGUUCAGCUGCUUUCGAAAAAGACCUCCCUGUGAAGUGAGUCUGUGACCUUGACCUCCUGGCCGCUCUGGGUCAUCAGUUCAUCUUCUCCAAUGAGGUUGGCUUCGGUCCUGUUCUCCGGCUAAGCCAGACUCCAACUCCCUUCUACCUCCCACUGAUUAGCCUCUAGGUCUGCCUCCCAUAUGAUAACUGGGCUCAGCCAGGGAGGAGGAGCAGGGCUCGGGCUGGGGCAGCUCGGACUGGGGGUAGGCUCAGUCUGUAAGCAGUAUUAAGUACUAGGGACCUGCACAGGUCUCCUUUACUGAUGAGACUGGGCCUUGUCUGUGACAAGUAUGUUAAAUGGGCUUCCUAGAAACGUGCCGAGCUGGAGGACCACACACAGGCUGGUUGGGGCAUGCCCUCGAAUGGUAUACCUGGAAGGAGCCAGGGAGGCAGGAGUGGGCAGGGGGAGAGCCUAAGCUGCAGUGAGGCUGUGGAUAAGGCCCCUGCAGGGGUCCCUGGGGCUGUGAGACGCUUCGGGGUUGUUCCAGGUGAGGAAAGGGUGCUGGGCAUCUGCCCCUCUGCACCGGUCGGGCACUGGGUCCUGCUGCCCCGUGGCAGUGGGCAUAGCCUAGAAGCCAUCAGCGGUCAAUAUUCCCAGCGCUGGGGUGGGUACCUGGCCCCGAAGGGGGGCUCUGUAACACCCAGUAUCCCCUACAACCAGCCCGUGGGCUCUGGCUCAGGCAUGGGUUUUAGCCAGAUGCUGGAAGUAGAAGAUAAAAGACCCUGAGACUGAGUGUCCCCCCCAGGACAGGAUCUUUGUCCCCAGCUUCCAGCACAGGGCCUGGCUGGGCAGCACAAGCCUCAGCCCACAAAUGGAGGAAGAAGAGAAAGUGUGAAGUAGGCUGGGCCAGUCAGCCUCCCAAGAGACUCAGAGAGGGUAAGCGACCUACCUGAGGUCACACAGCUGCUCAGAGCAGAGCCAGGAUUGGAACCCAGGCCUGGCUGAGUCCAGAGCUCAUGUUCUCUUGACAAUGGCAGGCUGUGAGCUUAUUAGAAAGCAAAGGCUGGGAAUGGGAGGAGGAAAGUGCCUCCUCCCAGUUCCCGGAGCAGCCCCGGCAUCCGCCAACUCCGGCAGCCUCUGGCUGGCCCACCAGGACCCAUGCCCAGGGGAGGGAGUGGCAUCUUGCGGGCGGGCAGCCCUUCUCGGGUAAUGAGGCCCAGCCAGCCGUUCGCAGGUCCUACAAUGUGAAUAAUUCAUUUGCAACCAAGUCUGGGAAUUAGAAACCGUUACUGGAUGAUUUAUUUAACAGGGUCUGCUCCUGGGGAGAGGGGAGGACUUUGAACCCUAAGAGGGGAAGUGCACGUCUUCUAGAUGGGUUUAGGGAGGCCGACAGGCCUGGCUUCCAAUUCCAACUCUGGUUUCUAGCUGCUGCAUGACCUCGAACAAGUGAUGGGACCUCUCCGUGCCUCAGUUCCCUGGAGUGUAAGACAGGGACCACAGCAGAGUUGUUAGAAGGAUUAAAUGAGUCAGAAUUUGGAGAGCCCUUAGAAUCAUGGCAGUUCCUAGUAGCUGCUCAGCAAGUGUUUGGUGAAUGAAUGCCUGGAAGCUUAGAGACAAUAAUGGGACCACCUGGCUUGCACACCUGCUCUGAAGCGGGCCCUGAGCUUCUCGGUGUGCUAUCCCACAGCACGUGCAUACAGUGGGGCUUCUACUCAUAAUUACAGAUGAGAAAGUAGAAGCUCAGAGAGGUUAAGUAACUUGUUCAAGCUCACACAGCCAGUCUCGACAAAGCAGUGAUUAGAACCCAGCCCGGCUUCUGACUCCAUGGCCCACACACCUGUCCACAUUCCCAUACCAUGGAUCUGGCCCACAGAUGGUGCCGAAGAAAGGUCUGACUCUUAUUUUACUCAAAAUUUCCCUUUCCAGGGUGCCUGGGUGGCUUGGUGGGUUAAAGUCUCUGCCUUUGGCUCAGGUCAUGAUCCCAGGGUCCUGGGAUCAAGCCCGGCAUCGGGCUCUCUGCUCGGCAGGGAGCCUGCUUCCCUUCUUUCUCUGCCUGCCUCUCUGCC
rnacentral:lncRNA from 1 species